AGGAGAGUAUCCUAAGGCGUUUGAGAGAACUCGGGAGAAGGAACUCGGCAAAUUUGAACCGUAACUUCGGGAUAAGGUUCGCCUACGCAAGUAGGCCGCAGUGAAGAGGGGGUUGCGACUGUUUAUCAAAAACACAGCACUCUGCAAACACGAAAGUGGACGUAUAGGGUGUGACGCCUGCCCGGUGCUGGAAGGUUAAGAGGAGUGCU
rnacentral:rRNA from 1 species